rnacentral:lncRNA from 13 species
ACGAUAGAUCAUAAAUAGGAAAUGACUUAGCACUAUAUAUCUUUUGAAGUUGGAAUACCAGCAUUUACUAUUAGACUGGCUUCAUCUGCCCAGCCAGAAUGAAUCAAAGAUGUUAUCUUUAAGCAUUUUAAAAUUUGCCAUGAAAUGACAAAAGCAAGGGAGUUCAAAACAAAGGACACAGAAGCUGGCAGCUUGGGAGACAAGGAGAAAGGGGAGUGAAGAGUAAGGAAUGGGAUCAUGUAUGGAAAAGGACGCUGUUUAAAACAGACAGCCAUUCUGAACUAAGUGGAUUAACUGAGUAAGAUGGUUUGUAUUCUUUUAUGGUCAGUUAGGAGGUUUCUUAACAGAGCUGCAAGUCAUUGACUCUGAGGGACUUGGGGUAAAUCACUUUACAUCUCUGGACAUCAGUUUCCUCAUCUACCUCCUAUGGGAAUAGGGGGUAGUUUCUAAGGUCUUUCAUUACUCAAAGUCUCCAAGUUUUUCACAGGACUCAAGGGAAUUAAAUACUCACUUUGGCUACUACAUGUUUUAAAUAAUAAAACCCAUAUAUCAGAAUGAAAACA